UACGUAGGGGGCAAGCGUUAUCCGGAUUUACUGGGUGUAAAGGGAGCGUAGACGGCAGCGCAAGUCUGGAGUGAAAUGCCGGGGCCCAACCCCGGAACUGCUUUGGAAACUGUGCAGCUUGAGUGCGGGAGAGGUAAGUGGAAUUCCUAGUGUAGCGGUGAAAUGCGUAGAUAUUAGGAGGAACACCAGUGGCGAAGGCGGCUUACUGGACCGUAACUGACGUUGAGGCUCGAAAGCGUGGGGAGCAAACAGG
rnacentral:rRNA from 1 species